GGGGAAUCUUGCGCAAUGGGCGAAAGCCUGACGCAGCCAUGCCGCGUGAAUGAUGAAGGUCUUAGGAUUGUAAAAUUCUUUCACCGGGGACGAUAAUGACGGUACCCGGAGAAGAAGCCCCGGCUAACUUCGUGCCAGCAGCCGCGGUAAUACGAAGGGGGCUAGCGUUGCUCGGAAUUACUGGGCGUAAAGGGCGCGUAGGCGGAUCGUUAAGUCAGAGGUGAAAUCCCAGGGCUCAACCCUGGAACUGCCUUUGAUACUGGCGAUCUUGAGUAUGAGAGAGGUAUGUGGAACUCCGAGUGUAGAGGUGAAAUUCGUAGAUAUUCGGAAGAACACCAGUGGCGAAGGCGACAUACUGGCUCAUUACUGACGCUGAGGCGCGAAAGCGUGGGGAGCAAAC
rnacentral:rRNA from 1 species